rnacentral:lncRNA from 1 species
GAGACUAAAGCACCUGACGGCUGAAGGAGGCGGGAGAGUGGCCCGGGAGGGAAGAUUCCGCGCGAACCUCGGGGGUAGGGUUUGUAAAUAUUAUCUCUGUGGUUUUUGUCCUGCGGAAUUGUUCACAAAUACCCGUUCUGACCUUGGUCCAUGUGAAAAAAUUCAUGAUGAAAAUCUAAGAAAACAGUAUGAGAAGAGUUCUCGGUUUAUGAAAGUUGGCUAUGAGAGAGAUUUUUUGCGAUACUUACAGAGUUUACUUGCCGAGGUCGAGCGUAGAAUUAGACGAGGUCAUGCUCGUUUGGCAUUAUCUCAAAAUCAGCAGUCUUCUGGGGCUGCUGGUCCAACAGGCAAAAAUGAAGAAAAAAUUCAGGUUCUGACAGACAAAAUUGAUGUGCUUCUACAGCAGAUUGAAGAGUUAGGAUCUGAAGGAAAGGUAGAAGAAGCCCAGGGAAUGAUGAAAUUGGUUGAACAGUUAAAGGAAGAGAGAGAAUUGCUAAGAUCUACAA